AGGGGGGGGGGUGCUUACCAUGCAGUCGAACGAUGAUCCGGUGCUUGCGCCGGGGAUUAGUGGCGAACGGGUGAGUAACACGUGAGUAACCUGCCCUUGACUCUGGGAUAAGCCUGGGAAACUGGGUCUAAUACCGGAUAUGACUCCUCAUCGCAUGGUGGGGGGUGGAAAGCUUUUUGUGGUUUUGGAUGGACUCGCGGCCUAUCAGCUUGUUGGUGGGGUAAUGGCCUACCAAGGCGACGACGGGUAGCCGGCCUGAGAGGGUGACCGGCCACACUGGGACUGAGACACGGCCCAGACUCCUACGGGAGGCAGCAGUGGGGAAUAUUGCACAAUGGGCGAAAGCCUGAUGCAGCGACGCCGCGUGAGGGAUGACGGCCUUCGGGUUGUAAACCUCUUUCAGUAGGGAAGAAGCCCUCUUUGGGGGUGACGGUACUUGCAAAAAAAGCGCCGGCUAACUACGUGCCAGCAGCCGCGGUAAUACGUAGGGCGCAAGCGUUAUCCGGAAUUAUUGGGCGUAAAGAGCUCGUAGGCGGUUUGUCGCGUCUGCUGUGAAAGACCGGGGCUCAACUCCGGUUCUGCAGUGGGUACGGGCAGACUAGAGUGCAGUAGGGGAGACUGGAAUUCCUGGUGUAGCGGUGAAAUGCGCAAAUAUCAGGAGGAACACCGAUGGCGAAGGCAGGUCUCUGGGCUGUAACUGACGCUGAGGAGCGAAAGCAUGGGGAGCGAACAGGAUUAGAUACCCUGGUAGUCCAUGCCGUAAACGUUGGGCACUAGGUGUGGGGGACAUUCCACGUUUUCCGCGCCGUAGCUAACGCAUUAAGUGCCCCGCCUGGGGAGUACGGCCGCAAGGCUAAAACUCAAAGGAAUUGACGGGGGCCCGCACAAGCGGCGGAGCAUGCGGAUUAAUUCGAUGCAACGCGAAGACCUUACCAAGGCUUGACAUGGACCGGAAAGACCUGGAAACAGGUGCCCCGCUUGCGCCGGUUUACAGGUGGUGCAUGGAUGUCGUCAGCUCGUGUCGUGAGAUGUUGGUUAAGUCCCGGCACGAGCGCAAUCCUCGUUCUAUGUUGCCAGCGAUCGGCGGGACUCAUAGGAGACUGCUGGGUUCACUCGAGGAGUGGGGACGACGUCGUCAUCAUGCCCUAUGCUGGUCCUCAGCCAUGCUACUAUGGCCGGUAACAAGGUUGCAAAAUCCUGUUGUU
rnacentral:rRNA from 1 species